CACUCAAAGCAUCGAGACUCUCCACCAGAGCACCACUUCCUUUGUAGUCUAGCCACCACCAUCACUAGUAGAAUAGCCAAGAAGGCGAUUAGUUCGCCAAGAGUUUGAAGGCAUGAAGAAGUGCAUCGCUGGCAAGCGAAGAAGAAAAGAAGAGCCAGCCAAUUAUUCACCGAGAGACAAUGCCACGUGAAGAAAGCAAAGAUUCCUGAAGAUUGAAGCUUGUCGGCACUCUCUCGCACUUUUCUAUAUUAUUAGAAGGACACGCGUGUACCCUAGUAAGACACGUAUGCAUGCUACCGUGUGUAAAAUAAGUGAAGGAAGGCUCCCGAAGGCCACCUUGCAGCCACCCCUCACGGCUAUAAAAGGAGACGCUGGGCUCAACAACAAAGACACACAAGAGACGGGAGAGCACGGAGCACUCAAAGCAUCGAGACUCUCCACCAGAGCACCACUUCCUUUGUAGUCUAGCCACCACCAUCACUAGUAGAAUAGCCAAGAAGGCGAUUAGUUCGCCAAGAGUUUGAAGGUAAUUUCCUAGUUGUGUGUAAUCCCUUCGGGGCCUCCCGAAAGGGAAAACCAUAUGUAAAUUAUGUUGUUGAAAUGAUGUAGUUUCUUGGUUUCA